GUUCUCAGAACAUCAAAGGCAGCUACUUUGGGUGGAAGCACACACCUUUGAUGGCAGAGAUUUCAAUGUCAAGUAUGGAGAAUUCAACGUUAUCAAAUUAAAGGAUUGGCAAUUCUCAAGGGAAGUGAAACAAUCACUAAAUUCAACAUUGCCAAUUGCUACCUAUUGGAUUGCAUGAAGUGUUCUUACUAAUGCAAUAUGUUUUAUCCAUCGAUUAAUCUCUUUGCUAGCUUGACAGUUGAUUUCAUGUCCCAAAAUCAGAUAAUAACGGAACUGUCCAAUUUAACCGCCUAAAUCAAAGAUAUAUAAUCACUGCUUGCUACCCACUACUAGAGAAUUGGAGAAGAGAGCAGAGGAAUCUUAUAAAGCAUAUUUGCUCGUUUCAAACAAUUAUUCUGGUGAAAGUUUAAGAGUUAAUACUGAAGACAAAAUAUUGAGAAGUCAAUUUAUGAUUGAUAAGAACUAAUGAGAAGAUUGGUUUUCUCAUUAUCUUCAGGGCAAUAUAUGAGUGAGUGAUUGAAUUUUAAUUUUUCUCUAUCAUGGAUGCAUUGAAUUCCAGUGAAUGAAUGAUUGAACUCCAGAGAAUACACAUUACAUUAGUUUAAAAUUUCUUAUGAAUGACUCAUAUAUGACCAAAAAACCAUGGAAGUGUUGGAGAAAAACAAAUUCUCUCUCAUUAUUUGCUACAUAUUUAGUCCGAAUGUUUUAAGGAGAUAUUUGUAAUUUACUCUUGUAAUUAAUAUUAUUCAUUGUAUUAUGUAAAUCAGUGUAUUUAUUAGCAUAUAUAAUACCUUAUU